AUCUCUGAGAUCUGAAAGAAACGAGGUCCCCUUUUGUUUCUUUUUCGGCAUCACCACCACCCCCUCUGGCCUCUGCCGUUACCAUCCCCUUGCAACCGCCACCAUUCUAAUCUCUACUAACACCACUACCAUCUCUAUCCCCACCACCGGAACCACCAAAACCAUCUCCAUGUCCACUAUCAACCACAUUCAAAAUUACAGAGAGAAAUAGAAUCAAUCACAGAUUCAUAAAUCAAGCUUGAUAAUCAUCAUCAACAGUUUAUAUUCUUCUUCUUCUUCUUAUACUCCUCAUCGUAACAAUGAUUUCCAAGUAAAUUGGGAUUGUGGUGAAUGUUAUUUUUGGUGGUGGACUUUUGUUGCACUGGAGGUGAUGGUGGUGGAUUUUGUUGUAUUAGUGAGGAUGGUGGUGUUGUUGCAUAUUGUGGUGGUGGUUGCUGUGUAUACAAUAUAGGCGCAGAAAGGUGCUACUGCUAAUAAGGGAAGUGACAAGAAAAUAGCUAAGAAAGAUGCCGUGGAAGAAAAUCUCAAGGAUGACAAAGCUGUAUUGUCCAGCUGCUGUGGACAAACCGUAAGUAUUUAAACUCUGUUAGUGGAAUCUAUUGCUUUUUAUGUUCUUCGUAAGGGUAUUUAUACUAUUUUUUUUUCGUUUUGCUGUGUAAUGUAAGCUCUUCUGUCGACACUUGCAAAGAAGCACACGGGAGUGUGUAUAGGGCAGUGGGAAAGACCUAAAAAGUUUUUGCCGUGAGCCACUGAGCUUCAAGUAUCUUUAUAGAUUUCCUUAUUUUGUUUUAUUGAUGUUAAGUACACAUUUAUUUAGUUUGUUAAGCUUAGAAUGAACUGAACGACUGGGAGAUAUUGUCCUUUGCUUUAUUUAGGAAACUGAUCAUAUGCCAAGCCAUUUUACGCACACUAUAGUGUUAAGCUCCGUUUAUCUAAGAUGAGAGCAAAUCAGGCUAUAAUGUGCAUAAUCCAUCUUUACUUAUAAUGUAGUGUUAAGCUCAAAUUAUCUAAGGCGAGUUAAUGUGUCUAUAAUGUGCAUAAUUCAUCUUACUAUCUUGUCACUAAAGAGCUUGUGUAUGAGAAAAUGCAUAUCAUUUUUCGAGGUUUUAGUUUAGUGCCAAAAUGAAGACUAGAAAGAGAAAUGGGAAGGUGAAUAUCUGGACACAUAUUGGGGUUAAUUUGGAACUUAUAGAGCUAUUGUUGGGGAACUAGACUGUAGGUUCUUACUUGUAGUUAGCUGGUUGUCAUCAUCUAAGUUGAAAUGGUUUGAAUGGUUACAUGAUUAAGGUUAUGUCAAAUAGUUGACACACUUGCUGGUCGCGGGAGUUCUUUAUUUUUAUUUGGUGGUGAUUUUUGUAUUUAUUUUCUUUGCCUAGUGAAGGAAGUUUCGGAGAGUGUUUUUUUUUCUAUAGAUGAUAGGUAAUAAAAUUCAACAGUCGCUACCAUUUAAUUAAGAUUUUUCUGAACUAUUUUAUCUUGAUAAGUUAAUUCAUUGUUUUUAGGCUUCUGGAUACUAUAUUUGCUUUUUCUAAAUGACAUUAACCUUUAUGUGCUUGUUUGGUUGCUCAAUUUUGUUACUUCAUAUAGAAAAGUUAGUGGUUGAGCUCUUAUUGCAUGUUGUUUUCUUGUUCUGAUCAUUACUAAGGAAUAUAUGGAUCUGAAAUGGGUUUUUAGGUUUAAGUCUAAGUACAACUAAGGGUCUGGUAUUCUAAGGGUCUGGUAUUCGUAAACUUGAUUGCUUUACUGAGCUUAGAGUUUCUCAUAGUUGUUUUCCAUUUUGUGCUUGUCUUUUAUGUGAAUUUUUACUGAUCUUUUAUCUAACUUGCUUGUCUUUUUUUUUUGUAUUAUUUUGUUUAUAUCAAGCUUUUCGAACUUGUGGUGUAAUGGUAACACUCCUGACUCUACGUCAGAAGAUACGUGUUCGAUUCACGCCAAGUUCACCAAUAAUUUUAGUAUAAUCAUUUUUGGGAUCAAUUUUGGUUGUUGACAUAGUUUUUUGGGAUCAACUUUGGUUGUGAUACAUAUAUUGGGAUCAACUUUGGUUCUUGAUACACAUGUUGGGAUCAACUUUGGUUGUUGACACCGUACCUAAUCUGAACAUUUUCUGAAAUUUUAAUUUGGGAUCAACAUUGGUUGUUGAUACCAGAUUUUGGGAUCAAUUUUGGUUGUUGACACCAUAUAUAAUUUGAGCAUUUUCUGAAUUUUUAAUUUUUUGGAUCAAUUUCGGUUGUUGAUACCAUAUUAUUUUAUUUUAUGAUUUUUUUGGGAGUCAAUUUUGAUUGUUGACAUCAUAUUAUUUUUUUUCCUUGUUUUCUGUUUUUUUUGGAUCAACUUUGGUUGUUGACACCAUUUAUGUUUUUAUUAUUUUCUGAUUUUUGUUCUUGGGGUCAACUUCGGUUGUUGACAUCAUGUUAUUUUUUAAUUAUUUUCUGAUUUUUUUUCCGAUCAACUUCUGUUGUUGACACCACCCCCACGAUGGUGGUGGCGGUGGUGGUGGUGGACUUGUGGCGGCGGCGGUGGAGGUUGUUGUGGCGGCGGCGGCAGCGGUUGUCGAUUGGUGGUGGAUUGCUCGUGCUGAAAUGAGAAAUUUUUUAUUUUUAAAAAUGGAGAAACAUGUUCUUGUCAUAAAACAAGAAAAGAUUAUAUAAUAUAGAGGGUAUUAAUGUAAUCUAUCUUUAAAUGGAUAAGGUGAGGGGUAUAUUUAUUAUGUGAUAGGGGUAUAUCUGUUGGUUAAGAAAAUUAGAGGCAUAUACUUAAUGUACCGGAGAAUAAAUGGACUUUCUAGUUGGGCCAA